rnacentral:rRNA from 1 species
AGCGGCCAUAGGAGCGGGGCAACACCCGAACCCAUCUCGAACUCGGCAGUUAAUCCUGCUCACGAUUGGCUCGUUACUGCGAUCUCGCGGGAAGACCGAUUGCUGCUGGCA